rnacentral:rRNA from 1 species
GAUGAACGCUGGCGGCGUGCCUAAUACAUGCAAGUCGAGCGAAUGGAAUAAGAGCUUGCUCUUAUGAAGUUAGCGGCGGACGGGUGAGUAACACGUGGGUAACCUGCCCAUAAGACUGGGAUAACUCCGGGAAACCUGGGCUAAUACCGGAUAACAUUUUGAACCGCAUGUUUCGAAAUUGAAAGGCGGCUUCGGCUGUCACUUAUGGAUGGACCCGCGUCGCAUUAGCUAGUUGGUGAGGUAACGGCUCACCAAGGCAACGAUGCGUAGCCGACCUGAGAGGGUGAUCGGCCAAACUGGGACUGAGACACGGCCCAGACUCCUACGGGAGGCAGCAGUAGGGAAUCUUCCGCAAUGGACGAAAGUCUGACGGAGCAACGCCGCGUGAGUGAUGAAGGCUUUCGGGUCGUAAAACUCUGUUGUUAGGGAAGAACAAGUGCUAGUUGAAUAAGCUGGCACCUUGACGGUACCUAACCAGAAAGCCACGGCUAACUACGUGCCAGCAGCCGCGGUAA